rnacentral:tRNA from 1 species
GCAGUCGUGGCCGAGUGGUAAGGCGCGAUGGACUAGAAAUCUAUUGGGGUCUCCCCGCACAGAGUCGAAUCCUGUCGACUGCG